GAGAACAGAGUCCCAUAGACACAUCAGCUCCAUUUAUUAGCAUGAAAAAUCCUUCUUGGAAGAUGCUUGGGUAUUAUCAGUGGUGGGAAAAUGGGGUGAAAGGAAGGGAGUGCAUAAGGACUGAAAAUGUCAGAGCUGAAUCAGCUGCAACACGUGAGGCGCCCCAGGACUCAGCAAAAGGAAAGAUGAAAGUGGAUCAAAAAGACUGCGUUCAGCCAGGAGCGGUGUGUUAAGCCGCAGGCCCACCAGGCUGGGGAAGCAGUUGCUCCAUAGUAUAUUUUUGGGCCUGGGCUGAAGGACAAGAAUUCUUUGAGGAACUACGGUAUUUUCCUGAGCAUGGUACAAGUGAAAGAGGCCAAGUAGAAAAACCAGAUGGACCUGAAGACUUGUGAUUUGAACUCUAUGCUGCCAAAAGAUAAGUCAAAGUCCUGAUCCCUGUCUAUAUUUGGCUGUUGACAGUGAGCUUAUUUGAAAAUAGAGUUUUUAUGGAUGUGGUCAAGUUAGGUCAUGCUGCAUCAGGGUGGACCCUAAUGCAAUGACUGAGGUCCUCGUAAGGUAAGAGAAACUGGAACACAGAUACCCAUGCAGAACACAUACAGCAGUGAAGGCAGAGAGCUGAGGUGUGCUGACAAAAUGAAGAAACGCUAGGGAUUUCCAGCAACAGGCAGAAGGUAGGAGAGAAACAUGGAGCAAACUCUCACUCUGGCCCAAAAGAAGGAACCAACCCUGCCAAAAGGUAAAUUUUGGACUUUUGGCCUCCACAACCAUGAAAGAAUAAGUUUCUUUGAUUUUAAGCCACUAAUUUGUAGUUAUAUACUAUAGAAUCCUAGCAAACUAGUACCAGAGCUAAGCUUCUCAUGUCUACCCGCAUUCCAUUGGCCGAAGCAGGUCACAUGGCCUAACCUAAAAUCAACGUGCAGAAAGAUCAUUCUGGACCAUUGUAUGUGGUUAGGGUGUGGCUACAAAGAGGGAGAUUUGGGAUGAUAAUUUUAUGUAGCCCACAAAAGAUUUAGAUGUGAUCUACUGUCCUUUAGACAAGACAGUGUAUUCUAACGAUUAAUAGUAUCUUGGAUUAAGAGAUUCUCUAGCAAUUUUUAACAGCACAACCUUUGGCAAAUUAAUCUCCAAACACCAGUUCCUUUAAUUGUAAAAUGAGAACAAUAAUAGCAGCAACCUUGUAGGAUUAUUAUUAGAAGUACGUGAUUGAUAUUUAUGAAGUCUUUAUUUCAGUUGUUCACACAUAGCAGGGGCCAAUAAAUAUUAACCUAUUUUCAUUAUUAUUGGUAUCAGCAAAGCAGCAAAGGACAGGUGAUUUUUUUUUUCUAUUGGGACUUUGGAAUUGUGAGUGAGAAGAAGGCUAUGCAUAUGGAAAAGAUUCAAAUUUUACUUUGUGGAGCAUAGUUUAAAUUACAUAAAUGGUUUGUUGGGUGAGUAAAAUUUAGGAAGAAAAAGAACCUAUUUGCCAGAAGAAUAGCCAGUUUAAGAAACCUUAAAACUGAUUAUGAAGGAGGAUGAGAUAAAGCUUUUAGCUACUGAGCAGUAAAGAUGGGGGAAUUCACUUGGAUAAAUAUCAAGAAAGAAGGCAGAAACAGGACUCAGAGUAUUGAUAUCUCUUUGCCAACAUGCAGAAUCUCAUAGUUAUAACAUGAGAAGGUCAUCUCAUGAGUUGACCACCUCAACCUAUGGGAUGAAACUCUGAAUAUUACUAAGAGCAUAGUAAAGGACAGGCCCUUUUAUUUUUAAAAAAUUUUUAAUUAAUUUAUGGAGUAUAUUAGUUACCUUGGGAUUUGAUCAUUAUACACUGGCUGCAUGCACUGAGUAUGCUCUUCAAGAGGAAGCAGUUCAUGAGAAAAUUGAUGUGGUUUUGUGCACUGAUGUUUACCUACUGCAAGAGUCACAACCCAAGAAACGGAACCUGUGGAAAGAGGUCAAAGAAAGAGAUUUGAGAAGUUUUUAUUACUUGAGUUUUCUGUAAAUCACAUGAUUAGAUGAAACCAAAGGGUAUUUUCUUUUAGUAAGUGCCAGACAAAAUAAAGGGAAUGUGGGAAUAUGUGGGAGUGUAGAGACAUGGUUAGUCCUCACUGGGUUGAAAGCAUCAGUCAUGCUUUCAGGCUUCCUUAGGAGAAGAGAAAGCACCAAAAGGAACUGUGGAUAAAGUCUUAUUUCCACAGUGAGGAGGUUUUUGGGAAUAACUAAUAAGAAGCAAUAACUAGAAUUCACUGAGUACUUAUAGAUGAAGCAUGCAUCUAGAAUGAUUACGUGCUUCAUUACAUUUAACUUUUGUGAUGACCUCAUCAAGUUGAUGUCUUUUAAUCUUCAUCUUAUAGGUUGAAACACUCAUGGGGAAAAAAAUAACUAAGUCAAUAGCUGAAGGCUACAUGAGGAGUGGCAGGACUAAUUUUAGGGCACACAUUUUUCACCAUGAAUUAUCCCUGAAAGUAGGCAAAUCACUACCAUCUUUAUGAGCCUGGAAAAUAUUCAGAAGAAACUGAUACCAGGAGGCAAUAGAUGGUGAUCAUAGCAACCAUUUGGUGCAAAAGAGCCAGGGCCUCUGGGCUCAAGGGGCCAAUGAUGUAGAAUUAUGAAAUGAGCCAAAAAUUUCAUAAGCAACUCAUGUUCUUCCCCAAUUUGCAAGCCCAGUCACACCUUUGUUCAAUUGUGACAAUUGUCCUUUUGUUAUGUGUAUUGAUUUAUUCAUUUCCUAAACCUAGCAUUAACAAUUUUGAAUCUUUGAAGAGGGUGCUCUACUGCUUGGAAUGUCAUUUAAUCUCUCCCCCACCCUGGGGGUUUCUGCUCUUCCCUCAAGGCCCAGUUCCAGUGGCAUCCCCUUUUCUGAAGCCUCUCCUGCCUUCCUGGCUACCGGCCUCUGCAACAGAAAUGCUUUCUGUAAGCCACACCGUCAUGAAACACAAUGGGGCAGCUACAGAAAAGAAAACUCACCUGAAACAGGGAAGGAAAGAAGGAAGGAAGAAAGGAAGGAAGGAAAGAAGGAAAGAAGGGAACCCUAACUGCCCAUCCCAUCCUGGAAGUGUGGUACAAAGAGCAGAAGGAAGGGAAACUACAAACGUGUCUCCCUGUGCUGUUCGGGACAGUGCUGAAAGUGGAAGGGGGCCAGGGUCCAGAAAGCUGCAUGACUUCUCCUACCAACAUCCUGGGAGGAAGUUUCCAUAGGUGCUCAGCGUGCAAAGCCUGAGGGGUUUCCUCUUCAUGAUCUUACUCCUUUGAAGGCCGGAUGAGAGAAUCAGUAAGGGAGCUGACUGUGCAGGCUGGAGAGCAGAGCACUGGAUGACCUCGCGGGGACUCUUGAGUGGCCAAGGGGAGCCUUGACCCAGCACUCUUACUUGGCGUGUUCUCCAAGAGCAGUGUCUUCUCCGAAAACGCCUUUGCUUCUUUUUAGGGUGGGGAGCUGGGAUGAGGGCACGGGGCUAUCAGGAAAGGGGAGACUGUGUGACUGCGGAAGAUGGUGGCCAAAGGAAGCGCAUAUCCCCUGUGUGUUUCCCAGCACAGCAGCCAAGAGCCGCUCUCCAAACUUGGAAGGUCCCCAGGCUCCUGCCCUUGGCCAGGAAACUGGCUCCCUUCAGCCGUUCUGCGAAUAUUCUCUUUAUAUUGUGCCUACAGCAUUCGUGCUGCUCCCUCGCUGAUGUUAUUUAAAGCCUGCCUUCUUUUCUUUAAAUAAAAUUUUAUAUUUAUUAAAUUGUUA